rnacentral:rRNA from 1 species
CUACGGAGGGUGCAAGCGUUAAUCGGAAUUACUGGGCGUAAAGCGUACGUAGGCGGUUCGUUAAGUUAGAUGUGAAAGCCCCGGGCUUAACCUGGGAACUGCAUUCAAAACUGGCGAACUAGAGUUGAGUAGAGGGGAGUGGAAUUUCAGGUGUAGCGGUGAAAUGCGUAGAGAUCUGAAGGAACACCAGUGGCGAAGGCGACUCCCUGGACUCGAACUGACGCUGAGGUACGAAAGCGUGGGUAGCAAACGGGAUUAGAAACCCUAGUAGUCC